UGUCUCAGCUGGUAAAGAAUCUGCCUGCAAUGCAGGAGACCUGGGUUCGAUUCCUGG
rnacentral:tRNA from 1 species